rnacentral:rRNA from 1 species
AUUAGAUACCCGGGUAGUCCUAGGCGUAAAUGAUGCGAGUUAAGUGGUGGGGGCAUCUACGAGAUGGCCCUGUGCUGUAGGGUAGACCGUUAAACUCGCUGCCGUGGGGAGUACGGUCGCAAGGCUAGAAACUUAAAGGAAUUGGCGGGGAGCACCACAAGAGGUGGAGGCUGCGGUUCAAUUGGACUCAACGCCGGAAAACUCAUCGGGAGCGACAGCAGUAUGAUUGCCAGGUUGAUGACCUUGCUUGACAAGCUG